rnacentral:lncRNA from 10 species
AGUAAAUCCAUAAAAAAGGAUCUGUGCUACCCUUACAAGUUGAGCAGUAUAGUCAGUCGGAUCCUACUUCGCCAGUUUAAAAAGCCGUAGGGACAGGAAGAGGCAGUGUGGUGUGUUGGUGAAGGGCCUGGACACUGAGGCCGGGCUGUCUAGUUGAAGUCCUGGCCCCAUUGCUCACCAGUUUUGACCUUGAGCAAGUUCUUUAACUCUGUGCCUCAAGUAAGUGAGAGUAAUAAUAGUAGCCCACCUUAUGGCAUUGUAGAGAGGAUUAAAUGAGUUCAUA